GCCAGGUGUGGAGGCACACACCUGUAAUCCCAGCUACUCAGGAGGCUGAGACAGGAGAAUCAUUUGAACCCGGGAGGCUGAGGUUGCAGUGAGCCGAGAUCGCGCCACUGCACUCUAGCCUGGGUGACAGAGUAAGACUUUGUCUCAA
rfam:Homo sapiens chromosome 16, GRCh38 reference primary assembly.